rnacentral:rRNA from 1 species
AAAUUGAAGAGUUUGAUCAUGGCUCAGAUUGAACACUGGCGGCAGGCCUAACACAUGCAAGUCGAACGGUAACAGGAAGCAGCUUGCUGCUUUGCUGACGAGUGGCGGACGGGUGAGUAAUGUCUGGGAAACUGCCUGAUGGAGGGGGAUAACUACUGGAAACGGUGGCUAAUACCGCAUAACGUCGCAAGACCAAAGAGGGGGACCUUCGGGCCUCUUGCCAUCAGAUG